rnacentral:tRNA from 1 species
GAGAGUGUAACUUAGUGGUAGAGUGUGUGCUUAGCAUGCACGAGGUCCUGGGUUCAAUCCCCAGUACCACCA